GAUGAACGCUGGCGGCGUGCUUAACACAUGCAAGUCGAGCGAAGCACUUUUGCGGAUUUCUUCGGAUUGAAGCAACUGUGACUGAGCGGCGACGGGUGAAGGUACGCGUGGUAACCUGCCUCAUACAGGGGGAUAACAGUUGGAAACGGCUGCUAAUACCGCAUAAGCGCACAGUACCGCAUGGUACGGUGUGAAAAACUCCGGUGGUAUGAGAUGGACCCGCGUCUGAUUAGGUAGUUGGUGGGGUAACGGCCUACCAAGCCGACGAUCAGUAGCCGACCUGAGAGGGUGACCGGCCACAUUGGGACUGAGACACGGCCCAA
rnacentral:rRNA from 1 species